UACGUGGGAGGCGAGCGUUAUCCGGAAUUAUUGGGCGUAAAGAGUGCGCAGGCGGUUUGCCAAGUUCGUGGCAAAAGCCAUCGGCAAAAACGGUGGAGGAUCACGAAAACUGGCAGACUUGAGGGCGAGAGAGGGACACGGAACUCCGAGUGGAGCGGUGAAAUGCGUAGAGAUUCGGAAGAACACCAAAGGCGAAGGCAGUGUCCUGGCUCGUUCCUGACGCUCAAGCACGAAAGCUAGGGGAGCGAACGGG
rnacentral:rRNA from 1 species